GUGGAGCCUGCGGCUUAAUUUGACUCAACACGGGAAACCUCACCAGGCCCGGACACCAGAAGGAUUGACAGAUUAAGAGCUCUUUCUCGAUUUGGUGGGUGGUGGUGCAUGGCCGUUCUUAGUUGGUGGAGUGAUUUGUCUGGUUAAUUCCGGUAACGAACGAGACUCUGGCCUACUAAAUAGUCGACGGGCGUUUUGGUGCAUGGGCCCCGUUCGACACAGUCUUCUUAGAGGGAUGAGCAGCGAGUAUAGCUGCAGGAGAUUGAGCAAUAACAGGUCUGUGAUGCCCUUAGAUGUCCUGGGCCGCACGCGCGCUACACUGAAUGGGUUAGCGGGUUGUCCUUCUCCGAGAGGAGCGGGAAAUCGCGUGAAAACCAUUCGUGAUAGGGAUUGGGGCUUGCAAUUUUUUCCCAUGAACGAGGAAUUCCCAGUAAGCGCAAGUCAUCAGCUUGCGUUGAUUAAGUCCCUGCCCUUUGUACACACCGCCCGUCGCUACUACCGAUUGAAUGAUUUAGUGAGGCCUUCGGACUGGCGGUCUUGGACUGGGGCGCCGGUGUUCUCCCAGCAAUGGGGACUCGGCGACUCGCCUAGACGGGCCGGAAAGAUGUCCAAACUUGAUCAUUUAGAGGAAGUAAAAGUCGUAACAAGGUUUCC
rnacentral:rRNA from 1 species